rnacentral:rRNA from 1 species
UACGUAGGGGGCAAGCGUUGUCCGGAAUCAUUGGGCGUAAAGCGCGUGUAGGCGGUUCAGUAAGUCUGCUGUGAAAGUCCAGGGCUCAACCCUGGGAUGCCGGUGGAUACUGCUGGGCUAGAGUACGGAAGAGGCGAGUGGAAUUCCCGGUGUAGCGGUGAAAUGCGCAGAUAUCGGGGAGGAACACCAAUUGCGAAGGCAGCUCGCUGGGACGUCACUGACGCUGAGACGCGAAAGCGUGGGGAGCAAACGG